rnacentral:rRNA from 1 species
UACGUAGGGGGCAAGCGUUGUCCGGAUUUACUGGGCGUAAAGAGCGCGUAGGCGGAAAUUUAAGCGUGGCCUGAAAGCCCCCGGCUCAACCGGGGAGGGUCACGCGAUACUGAUCGACUCGAAGGCAGGAGAGGGUAGUGGAAUUCCCGGUGUAGUGGUGAAAUGCGUAGAUAUCUGGAGGAAUACCGGUGGCGAAGGCGGCAUCCUGGACCGAGAUUGACACUGAGUGAGCGAAAGCCAGGGGAGCAAACGGG